AAGCACCUUUUCUCAUACAGACUUGCUGGUCAGACAGUUCUUGAAACCUGCCUGUCCCCACUUCCCAAUGCUAGGGGGACAGCCAUUCACAGCCAUGUCUAGCCUUUUACAUUUUGGAUUCUCAUGCUUCCAGAGCAAGCCAUCUUACCACUGAGUCAUUUUCCAAAGCACCCUGCCUCCUGAGUUGCUUUUAAAGAGAAAGGCUACCCUGAAUGGAUUUAUAGAAGCUGUGUUUCAGUGAGCCCUGAAUGUGGCAUGCCCAGUUUUCAUUUGUCAAAGGGAAAGAGAAGAGAAAGAGCUGCGGACUUCUUCCUACCAUCCUACAGAAAGCAAGUAAACUCAGACUAAGACACCUCAUCUCUUUUGGCUGUACCUUUGGGCGAAGGCAUUACUAUUCUGAGGAAUUCGAGUUCAGAGGGUGGUUCAGAGAGCAGCUUCCUUCUGGAAUCCAUUCCACGUAUUCAGACACCUCCUGACAAAGUCAAAGGGCAGAAUUGUGGGUCCAGGAGUUUGUGAGGCCUCUCCAAUAUACAACACUGAAAAAAAAUGGUGGCCAAGGAUCCUGCCAUCAGAAAGAGCCACUGACAGUGAUUAAAUGUGACCACCUCCUGGCUAAGGCUAAAACAAAAUAUGUCUGAG